UUUAAAAGUAGCUACAGCAUCAAUUUAAAGGUUCAAUGAAGAAUGUACAGCCAUGUAGAACUACAAUUGGGGGAAACAGGAAUAAUCUAAUGGAAAUAGACCGAGUCGCGAUACCUAUCAAGCCCCGUCAGCUCAGCUUCUUCUUGGCCUCUCUGUGCAGCAUUUCUUUCUCCCAGGUUGUAAGCUCCUUCAGUGCUGGAGCAGUGUCAUUCAUCCAUUUGUUCA
rnacentral:lncRNA from 1 species